CGGACAGCAAUAUGAAGGUCAGGCUGAAGACCUUACCCGAUUAGCUGAGAGGCGGUGCAUGGCCGUCGUCAGUUCGUACUGUGAAGCAUCCUGUUAAGUCAGGCAACGAGCGAGACCCACGUCCACAGUUGCCAGCAUACCCUCCGGGGUGAUGGGUACACUGUGGAGACCGCCGCUGCUAAAGCGGAGGAAGGAGUGGGCAACGGUAGGUCAGUAUGCCCCGAAUCUCCCGGGCUACACGCGGGCUACGAUGGUUGGUACAAUGGGCAUCUACCCCGAAAGGGGAAGGAAAUCUCUUAAAGCCAAUCGUAGUUCGGAUUGAGGGCUGCAACUCGCCUUCAUGAAGCUGGAAUCCGUAGUAAUCGCGUUUCAACAGAACGCGGUGAAUACGUCCCUGCUCCUU
rnacentral:rRNA from 1 species